UCCGUCAUUUCCUCUCUCCACAGACAGGAGGGUGGGGACAAACAGCUGGUAAGUGAUGCCGUGAUCCGACCGCCGAGCGGGCUGUUUUUCACACCGAUUACCGCCUUUCCCGGAGCCACCACAGGCUUUACAGACAGGAACUGUGCUGGACUAUCUGCUGUCAUAUACUGAAAGAGCAGGCUUUUACAGGAGACAGACGCUCUGAAAGACGCCAGACGCUCAGAUGAGGAGUGUUUGUAAAAGGAAAUGACCGAGAGGCCUUACAGAUAGUUUGUGCUUCUGCUGCAGUCGGAGUUUGCAGAGAGAGAGAGAGAGAGAGACCCCCUAUCUGGAAGCACAUUUGUUUCCGCUGUGAGUAUUAACUACCUCAGACACUGGAAACUGAUCAAGAGGCGUUCGGCGAACUCUGUCUGUUCCUGCAGCUCACACACACAGACCAGACCCUCUGACCGACUGGAUCCGUCAGAGCGGCACAGGCCACGUCACCCUGUAGCUCACACCACUGCUUUCCCUCUCCGCUAAAUCCACAGAUUUUUACAGAUAUUUUUUUUUCUAUUUUUGUUAGAGGAAAAAGUUCUGAAAGAAGGAUUUUUCACUUGCAUUUUUUGAAGGAUCGAUCAUGCACUUUGGAUUUUCACCCAGGAUUGAAGCUAAGUGGAGACGCUAACUGGGAUAUAAACGCUGUGUUGCAGCUGGUCUGCAAAACUCGCCAUCUCUCAGGAGCGGAUACUGUCAUGACUUCCCCUCGGAUGGGAUCUUUAAGCUGUCUAUUUACUUGAUUCCAGGAGAGCAGAAUUAGACAUCGAGAGCGUGCGCGCAUUGAAAGGUGUCCGCUUGGUGAGGACCGACACUCCUUGGGCUCAUUGAAUACUUAUGUAUUGUUGCAGUGCACAGGAAAGUAAAAUGGACUACAAGCUGCGCUUUUUGCUUGGCGGGUCCAAGCACAAAGUGCAGCAGCACCAGCAGUUCCAGUUACCCGAGCUCAGCCGGACCCUCAGCGCCCCAUUGGGCUCUUCUUGCUCCACCCCAUCUCCAAUGGUGACCAUAGGCUCCUCCCCUUCUGGCUGUCACGCCCCGCCCCCUGGCACCACUACAGCGAUUGCGGACAUCCAGCAGGGCAUCUCCAAAUACCUGGACGCACUGAACGCGUUCUGCCGUGCGAGCGCCUUCCUGACGGAGCUCUUUGGCAGCGUUUUCCGGGACUCCCGUUACUCCAAAGCAGCUAUGCAACUGAAGGACGUGCAGGAACAUGUCAUGGAAACGACCAGCCGGCUCACCACAGCAAUAAAGCCAGAGAUCGGCAAAAUGCUGAUGGAGCUCAGCGCAGGCGCGGCUAACUUCAAAGACCAGAACGACUUCAGCCUGCAGGACGUGGAGGUGCUCGGCCGCUGCUUCCUGACGGUGAUGCAGGUUCAUUUCCAGUUCCUGUCGCAGGCGCUGCAGAAGGUGCAGCCGGUGGCUCAGUCCUGCUUGGCAGAGGCGCUGGCACAGGUUCAAGAGAGACGCGGGAAUGCCCACAUGCAGAACCACCUGAGCGAGCUGGAGGAGGCCAUCAGAUCAUGGAGAGGAGCUGCUGAGGUGACGGCGUGUCUCAGGGAGAGAGGUAGAGAUGGUUGUCUGUCUGGUAUUCAGGUACAGCAGCUCUUCUGCUCUCAGAACACCUCCAUACCUGAACACCAACUCAAAGAGCUCAACGCCAAGAUCGACAACGCUCUGCAGGCGUAUAAAGUGGCGCUGGACUCGUUGGGUCACAGUGAAUAUGCUCUGAAGGCCGGAUUUCACCUUAAUCCCAAAUCAGUGGAAGCAGCUUUGCAGGGCUGCUGUAGUGACGCUGAAGCCCAGCAGGCCGGACGCUUUCACACCACGUCUCAGCCCAUCCAGUGUGAAUUACCUACAAUCCCUGUGCAGAUCGGCUCUCAUCUUCUCCGAGGAGUUUCCUUCAAUGAAAGCGCAUCAGACAACCUCAAGCUUAAAACGCAUGCCGUGGUGCAGCUGAUCAAGGAUGCUGUGGAUCAGAACGGUGUGUCGGUGCGAGAGGAUUUGCCCAUCACUGAGGUGCUGAAUCAGGUGUGUCCCUCCAGCUGGAGAGGAGCCUGUAAAACAGCCGUUCAGCUGCUGUUCGGACAGGCCGGACUGGUUGUGGUCGACACAGCUCAGAUUGAGAAUAAGGAAGCUUAUGCCCCUCAGAUUUGUCUUGAAGGAUCCAAGGUUGUGAUACAGGUUCCUUCUACAUGGUGUCUGAAGGAGGAUCCGGCCACCAUGUCUCUGCUGCAGCGCAGUCUGGAUCCGGAGAAGACUCUGGGUCUGGUGGAUGUGCUUUACACAGCUGUGUUUGACCUGCAGCGCUGGAAAGAGCGCAAGGAACAGACUCUUCCCACCAUCCAGAUCCAGCUCCAGCGGGACACAUCUGAUUAUGGCAGCCCCGUGGAUCUUCCUCCCGGAAACAGCACCAAAUCCUCCGGCGGCCUCCCGAAAACCAUCUCCAAACUCACCUCUCGCUUCACCAAGAAAGCUAACUCUUCUAACUCCAGUGCGGGGGGCAGUUUCUCCAUCCCCAGCACCCCGUCCCGCAGCAGCAGCAGUGGAGGAGGGUCAGAUGAUAAAGCAGGACGUCUGCACAGCCUCCUGCAGAUGAGCAGCAUGAACACCGCAGAUCCGCAGAUUUCUAACGGUGCCGCCUCUGAUGAGCAGGGCAUGAAUCUGCCCACCGAUCAGGAGAUGCAGGACGUCAUCGACUUCCUCUCGGGAUUCAACAUGGGCAAAUCCCAGCAGGCGUCUCCGCUGGUCAAGAGACGAAACUCUGUGGCGUCUACAAACGCAGCCGAUCUGAAACCGCCGCCAUCCUCACAGGCCCAUAAUGCUGUGCAGACACUGACUCAAACCCUACAGCAAACACAACAACAGCAACAACAACAACAGCAGCAACAACAGCAGCAACAACAGCAGCAGCAGCUUCCUUCAACACCAAAACAGCAGCCACCGCAGCCAAACUCUCAGUCUCUGCCGUUUUACCAGCAUCUCCUGCAGCCCAUUGGUCAAUCUCAGCAACAGCCGGCACCGGUGUCCCCCCAGCAGCCUCCGCCGCAAUCCAGAGCUGCCCCCAGUAAGUGGCCCCAGGGCCCAAUGGCAGGCAUGUCUCCGAUCGGACCCCUGCCGCAGUGGCCGGCGCCGGGUCUGCCGGACCUGAGCUCUGACCUGUACAGUCUGGGGCUGGUCAGCUCCUAUAUGGACAGCAUGAUGUCGGAGAUGCUGGGACACAAGCCUCCGCAGGGGCCGCGCAACAACACCUGGCCUAACCGAGAGCAGAGCGAGCAGAGCUUGUUUGGGGUGCUGGGAGACUCCAUGCCCUUUGACCCCGCAGUGGGCUCGGAUCCAGAGUUUGCGCGGUAUGUAGCAGGGGUCAAUCAGGCCAUGCAGCAGAAACGGCAGGCUCAACAUGUUCGGCGGCCCAGCAACAGUCGCAGUAACUGGCCUCAUCCAGACGAGCAGCACCGGGGCUGGACUCACCCCGAAUACUACAGUGAAGGGGAGGCGGUCAAUAGCGGCUGGUCAGCCAAUCAGGGGGAUUCGGCCAGCUCAAGUGACGAGACCUCCUCAGCCAAUGGGGACAGUCUGUUCUCCAUGUUCUCUGGGCCGGACCUGGUGGCGGCUGUUAAACAGAGACGGAAACACAGCUGUGGUGAACAGGAAGUUUGCACUCUGCCCUCUCCUCCACUCCACCACACCAGUGACGACAGCAGUCAGGACAGCAAAACUAAAACCUGGCCUCCUAAAGCCCCGUGGCAGCACUCCUCCCACACCAACACCAUGCCCAAUCCCAGCUCUUCCCUCUACCAGAUGACCAUACCCUCCAGCCAAUGGGGCGACUCCAUGCAAAUGCUGCAGUCUCCAGUGUGGUCGACAGCCAAUGACUGCCCUCCAUCUUCAGGCUUUCCUUUCACACAACAACAACAACAGCAGCAGCAGCAGGUUUCCCAGCACAAGAUCCUGAGCAAAGGCUUCAAAACCUUCCCUCUGAAACCUGAACACCGACCAUCAUACCUGCACCAGUACUGA